AAUACAUAUGAAUUAUUUUUGGUUGAGUAUCACUGUAACUAUUGUUCGAGGACCACUGUAUUUUUGUACAUUGUUUAGCAUUUCGUCGUGGCGAAUUAGAAUUGUUGGGUUCUUCAUUUAGACGAUGCAGUGCGGUUUAAUAAUUCCAUGCUGGUCUACUAAUUACAUCUUUAUAUAGUUAUUAACGUCAUAAGGCCGAUAUGUAGCAAAUAACGGACGUGGUUGAAGUUUGUAAACCGAGGCGUCAGCCGAGGUUUAUAUUCAACCAAGUCCGUUAUACACGGGCCAUUCGUUUCGGAGGUCAUCCGCUACCAUGCUUGCAGAAAAUGGUGGCGAUCUCCUAACAGUGAAGGAACUUGGAGGCUGGGAUUCAUCUGCGGUAGCGGAGUCGUAUAUUGAAAAUUCUGUUUCGAAGCGAUUAAAAAUCACAAAACAACUAUUUCAAAGGUCCAAUGGAAACUCUGAAAUUACAACAUCCAUAGCCACAGCUUCUUCAUCAAGUGUAACAUCAACAGGUGAUAGUGGUCCUCAAUUUUCCUACGAUGGACUACAGAUUUCUAGCAAUAAUAACUGUCACUUUAAUUUUCAUAUUCAUUAUAAUAAGUAGUUGUUUGUAUUUCAAUAAAAGCAUUAUUUCUUAACGGCCGCAUAUGCGUCCGUUAUUUUUUAACGGACGCCGUCCGUUAUGAAUGAUAUUUCAUUUGUCAAAUGAGUUGAGUUAAAUUGAAAUAACAGUAUGGGAUGACGAAAAAUUAUUUCUGGCCAUUGACCGUUGUUUGUGUGAUUCUCGAAUUGGUUUUAGAUCGAAAUACGAUUUAACUACAUCGCUGCCAUUAGAAGGUCGAAACAAUUUAUUUCCAACCGUUCUCAUACAGUUACUGUUUUCUAAAUCACACUCCUAUAAAUUUGAGGUAUGCUAAUUUUUUGUGUUCGAAAGAGAAUUUGAAGAAAAAGCAGUCAUCUAAACUCAUGUCACAGGGUUUUCCACCAUUUGGCGUAUUUUCGCUAGUUUCCCAAUACCAAUCAAAUCAACGGAAAAGCAAUCUAUUAAUUGAUAUACUAAGAAUAUUAGCAAGGAUUUCGAAUACUAAGGUUUUAUUAUUAUGUGCCCUGAAUUUAGAAGAAAUCGCUACAUUACGGUUAAGGCAGUGGACGUUAGAUAAUAAUGAAAUUGUCCUUGCGAGAAUCAGAAAAAGAUUGCGGCGAUAAAAUAAUCGUAAACCAACUUGAUCAUUAGACUUUAAAAGUUUACUGUUUCAAGACCCCACGAAUUCUCUUGAUUAACUAAUAAAUUAUGAUACUGGUCUGCUAAAAUCAAUUAAUAAAGAUUGUUAGUAAAGGUAAUAAAUAACAGUUAAGAAACAGAAUGAAGUAGUUAGCAAAGGACCCAUUCACGACCCUCGAUAUUAAAGGCUAAGAUAUAAUACAGUAUUCUGUAUUUUUUCUUAAGGGUAAUUUAAUUAGAACUAUACUGAUAAGAGAUUUUUAACGGUCUUUGCCGGUAUCAUUUAAAAUAGGGAAACGUAAAAAUCCGUCUAGGUCAGGAUCAAAAGUGCGUGUUUUAAUUUAGUCUCAAUCGUAAUCAGAAAAGAGUUAAUCGGCUUAUCUUGUAAUAAAUCGGUUGGAGAGAAAUCUCGUCUUUUAUUUCAUAAACGUAAUAAAAUACUUCUUGUGGAUAUCGAAUAUAAACAUAAGUUACUUCGUUUAGGAUAUUUGUCAUCAACCCUUACAUACUUUACGUAGUAUAUAGUAUUGGAUUUUUCCUUUAAACCAACGCAUAAGUCAGACUCUAUAGGAGAUUCAAAUAUAAAUGUGUAU